CCAUGGUAACAUGAUUCAUGUUAUCUCCCUCCUCUCUUCCAUUCCCCCCUCCCAGAGCUGACAAGCAAUUCUACUGGGUUAUAUAUGUAUUAUUUCAGCAAUAUUUUUUGACUGACUGGUUGAUAGAGAAGUUUGAGAAUCUGUUUAUUCCCAAAUUAUGAACUUGGUUCCAAAGUUAAUUGGAAUCCCCUAAGAAGAAAAGCCUAGUGAGGAGAACAAUCAAGAAGCAGAUGCCUUAUACACAACUCUUUCUGUAUAUAUGGCUAGCUGUCCCAGAACUAUAUCCUAAAAGAAAAAUAACAGUGUUCUGUUGGAGGCAAAGCUGGCCCCAAGUCCUCAAAAUUUGGAGUUUGGGUGUAUUCCUAGAGCCAUAUUCCACAAUACAUAGCUAAGGCUUCUUAACUUCAAAGGAUACAGAAUGCUGCAGCCUGAAGUCUCCAGAAAGCAAGCAACUGGUGUGGAAACAAGAGAGAGAACCUGGAUAGGUGACUUCUAAGAACUUUACAAAUCAUAUCUCAUUGGAUCCUCACAAUAACCUUUACAUUAGCCUCAUUUUAUAGAUGAAGAAACUGAGGCAAGCAGAAAUUAAGUGACUUGCACAGGGUCACAUAGCUAGUAAGUAUCUGAGGCUAGACAUGAAUCCAAGUCUCUCUGACUCUAGCCCCAAUGCUCCAUCUAACUGUGCCAUCUAACUGACUCUUUGUGGCCUCUUGUUCAAAUGCUUUCAUAUUGCAUUCCAUUUCUAUCAUGUACUUGGCAUAUUCUAAUUUUUUAUUAUUUGUGAAUGUUUCCUAUCUUCCCUACUAGAUCAUGAUCAGUCAUGAACUUUAGUAGAACGAACACUAGAUUUGGAGUCAGGAGGCUGGUCCUUGCUCAGUGUGUGUUUAUGGCUCUGGAAUUCAUACCUCUUCAGCACAUUCUUUUCAUGGGGACCUUUCCUUUUGGAUGGAAGCAGAGAUUGGAGGAUGAUGAGCUCCUUGAAAUACCUCUAUGUAAGGUAAGCACCAAGAUCAGUCAUCUCUUUCUUUCCCAUUGGAUUGCCCUACUCGGGACUUCUCCAUCAUCCCUCCCUAAAAGAGGAAUUCUCCCUGUCCCCCCUUCCUUUAAUGGAUUGUCUUUCUCUAUUAGAAUAUAAGUGACUUGAGGGCAGGAACUAUCUUUUUGCUUAUAUUUGUAUUCCCCACUCUUAGCACAAAGCAAGGCAAAAGUAGAUCCUUAAGAAAUCCUUCUUGACUGAGUAACUGAGGGUCACCUAUAUAGUCACUGAGGACAUCUUCAAUGAUAGUAUUAGUAGGGAACAAGUAGGUUUUCACAAAUGAUAUUCAACAAUGGGCACAUCUUUAACAUCUCACAAUUGAUGGAAAGAUGAAGAAAACAUGAAAUCCUAUUGUGCUUCUUGUUUAUUGAUUAUGAAAAAGAAUUCAACUAGGGAGGAACAAAAUGCAGCCUUCCAGGCUCUUUUAUAAUGUGUUUCCAAUCCAUAUAUCAAGAUUGUUCCAGAUUACUUGGAAGAUGCAACAGCACGAAUAAACCUGUAAAGCACAGGUCA
ensembl:lncRNA